rnacentral:misc_RNA from 1 species
GGUGCUUCUUCCCUAUAACCCGCUCCACACCCAGUGCCUUCCCAACUCGGUCCAACCCGCCAUACAAAUCGCAGAACCGAUUCAAAUGCUUCACAUCAUAAACCCUAUCUCCGAAAAACAACCUCACUAUGUCAAGAAACUGCGUUAAUUCCCCAGGUAGGGCUCGCUGAGUCAAGCACUUGACUAGGUAGCCGAAAUCAUAAGCGCCGUGAAACGCUACCCAACUCACUGAGUCGUUCAAGACGAGUCCCGAAGACAUCAUUAGUUCAGCGAAUUUCACGGAGUCCACACCGCAAUGCCGAUUCUUCUCAAAAUCGAUGCCUUGGCUUCUUAACAUUUCGACCGAGUCGUGCGAGUGUGCGUCCCGCGACACAUCAAAAUCGCGAAAAUUGAAUUCCCAAAUAUAGCAAAUAUUCGUACCAAGAUCCGGCAGACUGCCUUCUUGAUCUGCAAUUGUAAGGCCGACUUGGAUCAAAUUCAACAUAUCG